GGGCCCGUAGCUUAGAGGUAGAGCGCUCGGCUGAUAACCGGGAGGUCGAGGGUUCGAUCCCCUCCGGGCCCA
rnacentral:tRNA from 2 species